rnacentral:lncRNA from 1 species
CUCAAAAAUAGAAAAUAAAAUUUAUUUACUGAAAAAGAAAAGCUUAACACAUGAUCCAUGUGCACAACCCACGUGAGAUCUACAAGCUCUGGCACAAUCCACAUCUCUACAUACACCACGCUGGAAACAUCCAGCAUGCACAUCGCGCACAGUCCCUCACGUCAGACUCACUCUGUGCUAGCUCUUCACUGCCGCGCAGCCUCACAUCCAUUAACAUGGCUUACAACACAGCCACCUGAUUUCACUGACCACCGAAAGAAAAUAGCUUUCCCUGCAUCACCUUGAUCUAAGCCAAAGAACAGCUAACAGCAGCCACUUCCCACCCUCAUUCCCAGCUCCCUCCCUCUGACCUCCUCUCAACAGGGAUGGCUCAGUGUACACAGGAAAGGGAGUCACCCAACAGGCUGGCGCUCAGGGCAAACAGCCUGGCGGCCUGCCGAGUAACCGCAUGAGGUACUGGCCAUGAUUUCAGACAAUCGGCCUCGCUCGCUUCCUUCCCCUAAUGGACUGACGUGUAAUGUACUCGGGGAAAAUUGAAUUCUAAGGCAGACUGAAAGCUGCCUCCUAAGCACCGCACCCUGCCACCCCUGCUGUCUGUCCCCUGGGGGAGGAAGCAGCAUUCUGAGGCCCGGGGUGACCCUGAGGCCUGCCCUAGUAGCUGACCAGCUACAGGAAAAAGAAAAAUAAGAUAAACAGACAAAAAACAACCCAAGCGCAGAGCCCUUGCUGUGAGCAGGGAAGAGGGUGCUGUAAACGGACAUACACUGCGAUUCUGCACUGUCAAGAAAGAUGAGGUGAACCCGUAGUGUUGGACACGGAUGAUAUUUGGUGACAGUUCCUAGGCAGAGUGAAGAGCAAAUGCCAGUCACGCUCCUCACAGGAAGCGGCCGCACUGAGGAGGGACAUGGCCCACCCAGGAGCAGCAUUUGGAGAAAGAACCAAGAAAGCUCUGAGAGAGCUACGUCUGGGCUCACGGGCACCUGAGGCUGCACAGGACACAGGACAGCAGGGCCCUGCGCUGUGCCUCCAGCAGUUCCAGGAACUCAGAGGCCUCCACCGAAGCACCAGGGACAGGACACGGGUCUGCCCCUUCACACCGAAAGCAACUCUCCGGGUGGCAACAGCAAGACGGCCAGGCCCACAGGUGGGACAGAGCUGACUGUUUCUGAGCGCACUGUGGUCACGUCUGAGCCUGAGUCGUGAGAGGGCGCCACCUCUACCUAUCCCAGCUGGGGCCCUGGUCACCUGAGCACCUGUUACAGACCCCCAACAGCAGAAAGGCUGGCCGCAGAGGCUCACCCUCCUGGGGGAGAACGAGUAUCCCAUGCUGACAGCUUCGGGCCUGACACACUGCCAGACAGGCCAGCACUCACCGUGGAGAGUCCACUCUCCCAACCCUCCACCUGGAGGGCAGCCCUGCUGGCUUUGGAACAGGAGAAAAAGAAAAAGCUGGGCUGCCAGGGUGAGCCACAGCCCUCACAAACUCGGAUGAAGCACACACAAAGCCCU